AUGCUCGCUUUGGCAGCACAUAUACUAAAAUUGGAACGAUACAGAGAAGAUUAGCAUGGCCCCUGCACAAGGAUGACACGCAAAUUCAUGAAGCGUUCCAUAUUGUU
rnacentral:snRNA from 1 species